GACGAACGCUGGCGGCGUGCCUAAUACAUGCAAGUCGAGCGAACGGACGAGAAGCUUGCUUCUCUGAUUUUAGCGGCGGACGGGUGAGUAACACGUGGAUAACCUACCUAUAAGACUGGGAUAACUUCGGGAAACCGUAGCUAAUACCGGAUAAUAUUUUGAACCGCAUGGUUCAAAAGUGAAAGACGGUCUUGCUGUCACUUAUAGAUGGAUCCGCGCUGCAUUAGCUAGUUGGUGAGGUAACGGCUUACCAAGGCAACGAUGCAUAGCCGACCUGAGAGGGUGAUCGGCCACACUGGGACUGAGACACGGUCCAGACUCCUACGGGAGGCAGCAGUAGGGAAUCUUCCGCAAUGGGCGAAAGCCUGACGGAGCAACGCCGCGUGAGUGAUGAAGGUCUUCGGAUCGUAAAACUCUGUUAUUAGGGAAGAACAUGUGUGUGAGUAACUGUGCGCGUCUUGACGGUACCUAAUCAGAAAGCCACGGCUAACUACGUG
rnacentral:rRNA from 1 species